CUCAGCUCCAAGCAGCCCAUUCAGUCCUGGUAAAGAGGAGGUUGUAAUGAAACAGAAUCUUGUUCUAAGCACAGAUCCUCAGCAUGCAGCUCACCUGCCGGCCAGGUCUCAGCUGCGUCCUUUGGAGCUUCC